CAGCGGGAGAACUUACAUUAGAAAACAUCUGUGUCAAGUCACGUGACAAAAUUGUGCCAUGUCACGUGGUUUUCACGCGACAAACAGAGAGGUCAAAGGUGACUGCGGCGGCCAGUGCCGUAGCAAAUUCUUUCCAGCUUUCUACUUCCGUGGCAGAUCGUUCCAGCAACAGAGAAGGCUUUCCAUGAUCCGGUUCAUUUCCGGUUCGUGUUCGCUCUUCUUCUCCACCCCUACCCAUGAUGAGUUCCUCCUCCGACGACGACGACGACCCGAAGCUCCCUCACGACGUCGCCAUCGAGGUCCUGAAGCGGUUGCCGGUGAAAUCUCUCCUCCGUUGCAGGUGCGUCUGCCGGUCGUGGCGUUCCAACAUCGACGACCCUCGUUUCGUGGCCCUCCACUUGCGCCACUCCGCUCUCGACGCCUCCCGUUGGCAUCUCGUGUGCCGAGAUUGGUGCGAUCCUGUCCAGAACCUGUGCUCUCUGCUGUCCCAUCAGUCUCUUGCUCUGCCUUCCCGGUCGCAAACCGAAAUUCCAUUUGUUACUCCUCCUCCCGACAGCUACCGCAUCGUUGGUACGUGUAAUGGUUUGAUCUGCGUCACCGAACGUUCCAGAGAUGGCUAUGGUCGGACUAUGUAUCUGUGGAAUCCGUUCACCAGAAAGCACAAGGCGGUUCGACGACCCGGUCCGGAUAUGGAGACUGGUCGUAUGGUUCUAGGGUUCGGCUUCGACGCUAGGUCGAUCGACUAUAAGAUUGUGAGGAUUCUCUAUUCUCCAGAAGAUUGUUUUAGUCGCUUUGGUCGAGUCGAGAUUUAUUCGCUCCUUACAGAUUCCUGGAGAAGUCUGGAGGGUGAGGCUCCUGCUUUUCGCCUUGACAACAGAGCGGUCUUCUUGAAUGGGAAUCUGCACUGGUUUGCUUCCUAUCGAAACGAGGGUCGAUACAGGUCAAUAGUCUCGUUCGAUGUCGCAGGUGAGGUGUUUGACGAAAUGGCUCUGUUGGAAGAGAUUUUUCCCGUAGACAGUGUCUAUUUACUGUCGUGUAUGGCAGUAUUGAAUGACUCGCUGGCUGUGUUCAUUAAUGGUGGGGAGGCACUUGAUCAUCCUGAUUGGCAUUCCGUUUCUUCUGUUUGGGUUAUGAGAGACUACGGCGUGCCUGAGUCUUGGACUAUGCUGUAUAAUUUUAAGGCUUGUGGAACGGUAGUAGGAUUUGAUGGCUUCACGUGGAAUGGUGCUGGAGCUCUUCUUUAUUAACAGGAAUUCGGGUGAUUGGCAAUCCGAGUUCACCUGGCUCUUAGCAAAAAUGGGGAAUGGCAUAGAACAGCAAAAAGUAAUGUUGAAGUUUCUUAGGGAUGCCAAUACAUAGUUUAUGUGGAAGUCUAGAGACAAUUUGCUUCAUGGUCAAGGGAUAGUAAAAACAAGUCAAGACAACCCUCGUGCUCAAUUGUAUCUGGCGAGCUUGUGGUUCGGCUUGGACUACAUAUUAACUCAAACUAGACAUUUUAAUUUAAAAAAAUUUGAAUCCAACCGCAAACUACAAA